GAGCCAUUAGCUCAGCUGGUAGAGCACCUGACUUUUAAUCAGGGUGUCGCUGGUUCGAAUCCAGCAUGGCUCA
rnacentral:tRNA from 1 species